rnacentral:rRNA from 1 species
GAUGAACGCUGGCGGCGUGCCUAACACAUGCAAGUCGAGCGAACAGACGAGGAGCUUGCCUCUCUGACGUUAGCGGCGGACGGGUGAGUAACACGUGGAUAACCUACCUAUAAGACUGGGAUAACUUCGGGAAACCGGUGCUAAUUCCGGCUUAUAUAUUGAACCGCAUGGUUCAAUAGUGACAGACGGUUUUGCUGUCACUUAUAGAUGGUUCCGCGCCGCAUUAGCUAGUUGGUAAGGUAACGGCUUACCAAGGCAACGAUGCGUAGCCGACCUGAGAGGGUGAUCGGCCACACUGGAACUGAGACACGGUCCAGACUCCUACGGGAGGCAGCAGUAGGGAAUCUUGCACAAUGGGCGAAAGCCUGACGGAGCAACGCCGCGUGAGUGAUGAAGGUCUUCGGAUCGUAAAACUCUGUUAUUAGGGAAGAACAAAUGUGUAAGUAACUAUGCACGUCUUGACGGUACCUAAUCAGAAAGCCACGGCUAACUACGUG